CAGUUUAGCCCACUAUCAGAUGGUUGAGGAUGGUCGGUACAAACAUUUUUCAUGGGGAAAGAUUACAUUUGACAAGUUGAUGUACUCAUGGUGACAAAAUUUCUUCAUUGAAAAAUAGUUAUAUUCUUUGGAUGGAAUACCACACGUACUCAAUGUUUGGAUGUUUGAGUACUGCUCUGAGAAUGACAAAAAAACUAUUGUCCGUCAGAGAAAUACUAUCCCAAGGAUAUUUAACUGGUCUGUGGAGUAUGUGAGGCCUAUGUAUGAGUCUCUUAUGGCUAGCAUGUUCAGUAAGUUUUCUUACAAGAUUUUACAACCUACAAGCGAAGAAGUUCAGAUGUUGGAUUUGCCUUUUAUCAAAGAUUUUGAGAUAUGUGAUCGAAUUUCAACAUUUGUUGCUACAACAUCUGCAAAUUAAAAAUUGAAAAGGUCAGCUGAUGAAGGAAAACCGCAUGUUAUUAGUGUAGUUGAAGACUUUGACGAUUUUAGCACUAUACCACCGCAGGAAAUUUUGAUUAAGGCUAGUUUAUCUACACCUUUAUCAGCUGAACAAGCAUCGAAGAGAAAAAAGAUAGUUAUGUUUGAGGACGAAAGUACAGGGGUGAAAGAUGAUGAGAAAUCUACACGUGCUCGUUCAGUGCGUCAUGUGUCAGGCUCUUUGCUAAAAAUCAAGAGGAUUCAACAGAUAAGACAUCAAAUUAAUUUGAACAUGAUCAACAAGGACAAUUUGGUGUGUCUCCUGAGCAUGACUAAGUCAAGUCUGUUUCUUCAUCUACCCUAACUCCUGAAGGGACUUCUAAGUAGACUUUAGACAUGGAGGAGAUAAAGACUUACAUCAACUACUAUAUGAGGAAAUGGUUGAUAAGGAACAAGGUCAUGAAGAAGAAUCAAAAGAAAGGACAGUCCAUCAUUGGAGGAUUUGCUACAUGAAGAUUACGCCAAGAGUCCAUUGAAUGAAAUCACAAAUGAUGAUCCAGUUGCAAGUAAAUCUGUGGACACGGAUAUCCAAGAAUGUGUGAACACAAAUACUGAAUGUACACCGACAUCUGACGGUCAAAGCCAUCAGAAGUUAUUUCUAAAUUUUUGAAAAACUGAUAUGUAUGGGUGAUUUGAGUCUAUAUUAGAAAUAUAUAACUUUUUUCCCUAUAUUUUCAUCCUAUAUAUGUAUCACCUUAUACAUAGAAAAAAGUUAUGUAUUACUAGUUUGUGUAAUGAUAUGUAUGAAUAACCUUAUACAUGUAUAUGUUAUGUAUUAAUUAUUAUGUAAUAUUAUGGAUGAAUCACCUUAUAUAUAUAUAUAUAUAUAUAUAUAUAUAUAUAUAUAUUAUGUGU